AGCGGGGCGGGGCGCGCGCCAUUUCCCGCCUCCCCUCAGCUCGCCCGUGAGGCGCCAACACCGCCCUCGCCUCAGGGCGACGGAGCAACGGGGAGAUGGAGGCAGGAGAAGGAGCUGCUUGUUGGGAGUCAGAGCAGAGGGGAGAUGGAGCGGGGAGUUGGAGCUGGGAGUUGGGAGACGGAACAACAGGGGAAUGGGGGACGGAGCAGGGAGAUGGUGCCCUCGAAGCCGCCUCAGCCCCCAGGCGCUCUGGCUCCUCGCCUCAGGGAGGUGAUGGAGGACGGAGAUGGCACCUGCCAAGCCGCCUCAGCCCCAGAGGCUCCGGCUUCUCCCCUCAGGGGUAAGGAAAAGGGAGAUGGAGAAGGGAGAUGGGAGAUUGGAGAUGGAGCAGCAGGGAGAGGGAGCAGGCAGAGAGGGCACGGAAGGCCGCCUCAGCCUCAGGUGCUCCAGCUCUUCAGCUUUUUUAAUCUGGACUUUGCAAGUUAGAAACUUUUUCUUUCCUUUUUUGUUUGUUUGGUUGGUUGGUUUGGUUUGGUUUGGUUUUUGUUUGUUUUUUUUUAAGUUAUUUAGUGCUUAGCAAAGUAGGUGAUCAGAAUGUUUCCUGACUGAGGUAAAAAAAAAAACUCAGCUCACAAGGGUUUUGGGGUUCAGCAAAUCCCUUCAGGAGGUGCAGUGAAGUCACAGAGCUGACAUGGUGCCACCCCUCAGGCAACUUCGAUUUUACCUCAGCAUCUUCCUGGCGGAGGACAGGGAUCGCGAUUUACACACAGAAACACAGGUACCCCAAAACAGCACAGGAAGGGGCAGUGGCCACCUCAGGUGGGUCAGCCAGUGCUCCAGGAGACAUACAUCUGACCCAGGAGUGAAUCAGCCCCAUCACCUUGGCAAUAAAGGACACAGUGAGGUGGGGUUUAAUUCCCCAAGAUCCCAGGGAAACAAGCUGCCAUCUUGCGCACAAGCCGCCAUUUUGUGUCGGCUUUGCUUUAUUGUCAGGGCCCGUUCCCCCAGGUGGUGGUCACUGGGGGCCACCACAACAUAGUGACAAGUCCUUUUGAGGAAAAAAAAAAAAAGAGAGAGGUUUAAAACUUAAACUUCUAAGUCAUUUUUUAAAAAGAAAAGUUUUUUAAAAAGUUCCAGAAUAAUCAAAAUCCAGAACGUCUUCAGCAACCCCAUAAUUUGCAGGCAACAAGACCACAUGACAUCCCUUUGACUCCCACAACACACACCUGCAGAGGUAGUUAAGGUUUUUAAAUAAAAGUUUUCUCGUACUAGUAAAAGAAACUGCAAAUUUACAGCUUCAACUUCAUCCAGAUGGAAGAAUACCUGAAGCCUGAGCCAUCCUUGAUAACUUGCAGCUCUUUCACAGCUCACACAGUGUAACAUUCUGUCGUACAAAAGGGUUCAAGGAAAGCCUAAUUAUUGCAGAAGCAAUUUCCCUUCAAGGUCAUACAGCCACCACUACUGCCAGACUCAAGAAUCCUUACAGGAGAAAGUGACUCUUGAAAAUCCAGGCUUGGAGCUGCUGUUCUAAUGGUUGGCUGAACCAAGGCAGAAUCCUCACUGCUUGUUGUUCAGCAUUUUCAUCAUAAAUUCCUGUGCCUUGAGUGGUUAUUGAAGAUGAAAAUGUGGAUUCAGAGCUGCACAGUUGUUCUCUGCAUGUCUUAGAAGAUUUCCUUAGCUUGAAAAGAGCUGUGGAAGGAAAAACCCUUCAGCCUGUUGGCCUGACAUUGGAGACACAAAUUUGAAUAUCACAUCAGACAAGUUCACUUCUUACUGGUCUGUCACCCCUGGCAAGUUCUUUGUCUUCUAAAAUGUAGGUGUUUUGGGAUGUGGAAAAUUACCUUGUCUGUACUUUUCAUGGCCAUGUGGUAUUAAAAGACAGUAAAAGUAGACAACUAACAAGGGAACAUCUUUACAAGAGGGCAAAGAAGCAUUUAGACCUGUGGGAGAUGACUCUUUCCCCCUCUCUCUUUUUUCCCUGCACACACACACACACAGCCCAGGCCGUGAGUGAUCAAUGCUUUGCCGGGCCGGGCUCCUGCUGCACUCACCAGCUUCUAACAAAGCAGCUGCUUCCGUGGGCUCCUGGAGCAGCUCCUCAGGACAGGGCAACAUCCUCCCAAACCCAGGCUUUGUUUGCAUCCCGACUGCAACAGCACACGAGGGGGAAAUGGGAAUUCAGAGCUGCCAGCUACACUAUCUCCGCUAUCAGCUCACCAAUAAGGCCCAGUACAGACCCGCAGAGCCUCUGGAUAAAUUGUAUUUUCCAAGGGUUAAUUAAGCUGUCUUGAGCUUCUGCAUGAAGGGGAACAAACUGGCACUUGCAGCGUUUUCUGAAACCUGCUGUCGACAUUGCAGUCCCUGCUGCUUUUAGCUGUAUCGAUCCGCUGCCUGACCUGUGAAAUCCUUGAUGGCUGCUAACACUGGAAGCUUACUGGAGCUUUCCAAGGGAGCUUCAGGACAGCUUGUGUAGUCAAGUACAAUUACCUGUCCCUCCAGGAGAGCCAAUUAGUUCACAAAGAGCUGGAGCAGAACAAAUGUUUUGUGUGUGAUUUAGAAUCUUUAAAAAAAAAAAAAAAGGGCUUUGUUCUGUCUCAUUCUUUUGUUUCUAAUUUUAUGAUUAUUGCUCCGCUCAUGACAAUCCGCACCGCGUUUCCUUACGUGUCUCAUCAAGGACUACUUGGGCAUGAGAAAACAGAUUUACAGUUAUUAUUUUUCCGACAGAAAAAAGCCUCAUGUGCGAUGCAAAAAGCCAGCCUUAGCCAUUUUAAAUACCAUGGACCUAAAAGUAGAAUGCUCACAUACUGGAUAUUUUCAGAGCCGUAGAUUAAUGUGUUUAAAACACGCAGCAUAUGCAGAUAUUUGUGCUGUAGUUUUUAUAGCACAUAUAUACAUAUAUGUAUAUAUAGUUAUAUACAGAUCUCACUUUAAAUUCUGGGGCUUGAUUUGCUGGGAGUGAAAAGGCAGCAACUGUUGUACCAAAAAACAGACCAUAAAAAGAGUGGAAAUUAAAGAGAUCACCGUCUAUAAUAUAACCCACUUAACGCAAUAUUUAUAACUUUUAAAAAUAAAAAUUAAAGACAGGGAGCCAAAAUUUUGUCUCUGUUACUCUGAAGAAUGGUACUAUUUGGCUCGGGUUCUCUGGGGCUAAAAGAGCAGCACUGGCUUGGGAACAAACUUCUUCGAUUAAUCUGAACUAAUAAUUCAAAUAAGUAAGGACCCAAUAAUUUAAGUGGUCAGUUACAGUGGACCGAUUCCAAACUCUGCAAUGUUCUACAUAUAAAUCAGAAUACAGCAAAGGUGGUUGCUGUAGGAAAACAUGGAAUGUCAUCAGAGGUGUCCUGAGGUCAGUGAUGAUGAGUUUUGUAGGAAUUGCACAGCUCAGCCCGUUGCUGAAAAUGAAAUCCUUGGGGGUCUUGAUUUUUUGGGGAGCUUGGUUGUUUGUUUUUAAUCUUCCUUUAGAAGAGUGGUAGAGAGUAGUUGGGCAGAUAACUGUAACUUUAAUUGUAACUUCUUUUUCCUACCAAAAUAAAUGGUAAAAAAUCCUUACCUUUUAUUAACCGGAGUAAAUUAUAAUGUAAUUUAUGUUAGAAAAUUGGGAGCAAUUAAAUUCCCAGCUGAAGAAAACUCUUGAGUCAGUCCGUAUGCGUAAGAAAAAAGGCUUCCAUGCUCCUGUACUGGUGAGGACUUUGUGAGAGCUGGAGUUUACAACCUUUCCCUAAAGCACGAGCUUAUGCAGGAGGUGGCUGUUGUUUACUCACUUCCAGAGUUUUUUUUAUUGUCACCCUGAAUGUCACCAAAUCAUAGGCAUCAAUUUGGGGGGAAAAAUAUAAGUUUGGGCUCAAGUGUUUUUAUGAGCUCCUUUUCAUCAGGGAUAGAGCAAGUUCCCACAACUAAUUCAGCCUCUGCUCUGAUCAAAUGGUUGGUGAGGGAAGGAACCACAUGACCAAAGCUUGUCUGGCCUCCACUGAGUUGCCAACACACUGCACCAAGUGUCAACAAGUGCCUGUUCCCCUCUGCAUUCUGUGCUCUUGUGGUAACACUGCUGAGCUAUAAAGCCAUCAAUUAUUUAUUUGGGAAGCGUUGCAAGUGUGAGUGGCAUUUCUGGAAC